rnacentral:rRNA from 1 species
GGCGUAUGGUGGAUGCCUUGGUAGACAGGACCGAUGAAGGACGUGACGGGCUGCGAUAUGCCUCGGGGAGCUGCCGAGUGGGCUUUGAUCCGAGGAUUUCCGAAUGGGGAGACCCGGCCAUUGUUAUGAGUGGUCACCACAGUUUUGUGGGGGGUACGCAGGGAAGUGAAACAUCUCAGUACCUGCAGGAGAGGAUAUUCCGUGAGUAGUGG